rnacentral:misc_RNA from 1 species
AGGGUCGUUCAGUAGUCUCGUUACGGCCACCACACACUACACGUCAUGGACGGAUUUGGCCAAGCAUUUUUGGAUUCUUUUGCCAUGACUUCAGUUCUCCGUGUUGGAUUCACCGUGGUGGAGAGUUUCAAAUAGUAAAGAAGGCCCUCUCAAUAAUUAUGGCUGCCUAAGAGCGGGGGAGCAGAAGAAGGGCCCCCUUUGGGGGUCCGCAGCUGAGUAAUGGCUCCCCUUUGCUCCUAUCAUUACUUCAAUAUCUGAUGGAGGGAAAUUGUUGAAAGUUUGUGGAACAUUAUAUAGCAACCAAUGGUUAUUAGUUAGCUCUACAUGAGAGGAAGUGACUGUGAGCUUUUAAAAUGCCUUGUUAUACUCUGGACAUAUCACAUGUAAUGUGCAGUUAGAUACAUAGAGGGCAGUUUUGACUGUAGUGUUUGUAUCUUGUAGAAACUAGAAUAAAAAACAUGGAAAGUAAUACAAUACUAACACUGUAAAGUGCACUAUAGAACAAGCUAUGCAGUAAUACUGUAUAUGAACCAAUUGUUUUAUAGACAGCAUCUCCUAUGGAUUUACUCAACAGGAAACAUUUACGAGUUGCUUAUUGAAAAACUAUUGCCAGUUGGCAGUUCAUGUGAUAUUAUUUUCCCCAUAUGAAUCCAGAAUAUAUGUACGUAUACCUUGAAUUCAGACUGUUGUAGACUCAACAAAUUGAGCCUUGUGUGCUCCAGACCUCCAGUGUUCUUCCAGUUUAUCAUGAAGACACAAAAAUAUAUCUAAUGUCUUUCAUAUGUAUGGCUGUGAAUUAACUUGGAGCUGGUCUCCAGGUUUUUUUUUUAUUGGUUCUCUUGAUUUUAAGAACCCUCACGUGUAUGUGUUGGAAGUAAUUACCUGUAAUUACUCUUACUAAGAAUUAGACAUUUUUGUGUACAUAAUUAUGGAUAUGAUAGAGUUGAGAACUAUAGCUCUCUUGAUUUAGAGAAAAUUUGAAGACAAUCUUAAAUCAAUAGCUAUGAUUCAAAAGCAGUUCCAAGUAGAAAAUGAAAUAUUUCAGUCAUGAGCUGAUAGUGUCCACGGUAUUGUACAUUGUGUCACUUGUAUGGCAUAAUCAAGCUGUGAAUUAGGUAUGUAGAUGGAGUGAAGAACUGAAGGUUGCCCUACACCAGCUGGACAGCUAUUUUGUUGUUUGCAGUUGCUUUCAUAUUCCAAGUAUAAGAGCAAAAUGAGUCGAGCACUGGAGUCAAAUUGCACUUCUGGGUGUCGUUCCCGGAAACAUGGAUCACUUAUCACUGCAGCAAUCAUCAGGGGGUCUGAGGCACAAGCAAUUUCAUAUACAAAGAAUCUGUGUCAGCGUUGUUGUUUUGUGUCGGAUGAAACGGGGAAAACUGCGCUUCACACUGCAGCUUCUUGUGGCAAAAGAAAGGUGGUGAAGUGGCUGCUGUCAAAAGGAGCAUCGGUGAAUCAGCGUGACUGGGAAAGUGGUUAUACUCCCUUACAUCGUGCACUCUUCUAUGGUCAUCUUCAUGUUGCUUGUGCUUUAAUUCAGGCUGGUGGUAACUUAUCAACCUUGGAUCAUGAUGCUCUUACACCACUGGACCAUGCAAACUUUGAUAGGCUAUCUACAGUUUCCUUCAACAAUGGAUUAUCAAAGCGGGUCUAUGUGUGGGGUAAUAACACAAAUUAUAAUUUAGGACAGGCAAACCAACAUGCAAGAGGAACACCAGAGUGUUUAGAUUCUUUACAUCGUGAAGGUGAUGACCUAAAGGAUGUGGCUAUGAGUAAAUUUCAUACUUUGUUCCUUGGUACUGGUGGUCGUGUAUAUGCUUGUGGUCAUGGCCAAGGAGGUCGGCUGGGACUGGAUACCAAUUCCCCAGUUAUCACCCCACGUCUUGUUAAGGCCUUCUUACAUGAAACUAUUGAGAAGGUGGCUGUAGGUCCUGACCAUUCUCUGUUUUUAAACUCUUUGGGACAAGUGUGGAGCUGUGGUACUAACUUGUAUCAUCAGUUGGGACUUAAUCCACCACCAGAACAUGUUUAUACUCCAAGAUUGCUCACUUGGCAUAAAUCCCAUAAGGAAAAUAUUGAAGGUAUUGCUGCAGCCAAAUACCACUCUGUUAUGUGGACACACACCAUGCUGUAUACAUUUGGUCUCAAUGCAGGCCAACUUGGUCAUUUCAAGAAUGCUAAUGAACGUACCAUUGUCAUCCCAAGACAGGUGACGUCAGUGGUUUUAAAUGAAAAAACUCGGCUUGUCUCUGUGGGAGCUAGUGAUGGAGCCACUGUAUUGUCAACAUCAUCUGGGGAUAUAUAUGUUCUUCAUCAGUACCAAAUACGCAAGGUAGCCUCUAGGCUGUGUGGAGUGAGCAAGGUGGCAUGUGUUGGAGGUCACUUAGAUUCAAAAAUUGGAGCAGAUGGUCUCAUAGAACAUGGAGGUGAUGACCUUAAGAUUGCUGUCCUCACUGGAAAUGCAUUAGGUCAUCUGUAUUUUUGGACUGCAGAGUCCUCUCAGCUGUCACGCUGUACUUUUAGCAUCAACAGAGAAUUAAUUUUAUCUGACUUCUGUCUGGGUCGUCAUUGCAUUGGGAUAGUAACUGAUAAAGGAGAGGCCUUCUCUGCUGUUGUAUUGCCUCUUCGUGAACGCAAGACAUCUGAUAAGCUUUCUUUUCGUAGAUUUUCAGGAAUAAAGGGUCAAGUUCUUGAAUUCCAUGAUCGCAGUACUUAUUUCACAUUACGCAUCACUCGUAUUGCUGCUUUGCACCGCACUACUGCCAUCAUGUGUGAUCCAAAGGGUCUUAAUUUUGCUGCUCUCCAGUUGGAUCUAAGUGCUCUUGUGUCAAACAUACCCCAAGUAUGCCAUAGUACUGCAGUAGAAAAUUUUGGGUCUCUACUUAAAGAAGCUAAUGAAUUGGAUACAAUACACGAUGUUGUGAUUGUAUGUGGCACUCAAAGAUUUCCUGCCCACUCCUAUAUCUUGGCAAGCCAUAGUGGUUAUUUCUGCCGCCAACUCAUUAAUGAAAGGGGCAACUUGCUGGAUGAAAAAGUGGAUGUUCAGAAGGUGUGGGGCAACACUCUUCAGAAUUCUGGAAAGAAACUCGUGAUUCUUCAUAAUAUUCAACCAGAUGUCUUUCAAGAAGUAUUGACAUUCAUAUAUACUGGUUCAUGCAAAUUUACUGAUGGAGGCUGUAAUCGGAAUGGGCCAACAAAUGACCAGCUGUUGGACGAUAUCAAUAGUAAUACUCCAGUCAAGCAUGAAUGGACAUCAAGUGAAAAUUUAAACCAAAGGUCUGCUUAUUCAUUAUACAAAGAAGAAGCAGAGUGUGUAAAAACUACUAACAGACAAAAAAAGAAAAAAGGACAAAGGUCAACAGAGGCCGAUAGAAUGCUACACACACUACAGACUGCUCUGUCAGUUGCAAAGAAACUGGAAAUCCCAUUACUUGAAAAAGAACUGCUUGAUAUAAGACAGAAUAUGGAUGAAUGUAUUCAAAUUGGAGAGAAGCCUGCUAACAGGUUUACAGUGACAUGCAAGGAAGAAUGCACAUACAGUCGAGAGAAGCAUCAGGAGCUAUGGGAUGUGAUGAUCCGUAGCAAAAAUGGAGAGGUUCUUGGGGCCCACAAGUGCAUCCUUGCUGCAAAGUUAGAAUAUUUUCAUUGCAUGUUUGGAGCCAGUUGGAUGGAGACUACUGCAUCAAAAUCUCUUGAAAUGCCAUUGCCAACCAACAUCCUCUCCAUUAUCCUUGACUAUCUCUAUGAAGAUAAAUCACCAAAAUUAAUUCAAUGUCGAGAUCCAGAGUUUGUUUGCAAUGUUCUGGCAGUUGCAGACCAAUUUCUGAUUACUCGGCUACGGGAACUGUGUGAAAGUGUUUUGAGCGAGUUGCUCACUCUGAAGAAUGUGGCAGAAUUGCUGGAAUUUUCUGUGACCUACAAUGCACUUCAGUUGAAAACAAUUGUAAUGGAAUAUAUAUGCCUGAAUAUACCUACACUACUGGAAAAUGGAUCUCUGCUGUCUAUCAGUAACAGUGAUAUUUUGGUGGAACUGAGUGAAUAUUACAGAGAAUUAUACCAUGCAAUCUCUUACCGGAUGAUAACCCCAUAUGAUCACCCACCAUAUGCUGAUGAAUUAGAGCAGAUGUUUGAGGAGAAGCCAUUUACAUUACCUGAAUCUGAUGAAGAAUGGGAUGACAUUUCAUCUGUUAAAGGGGAGAAGGCGUUAUCAUUUGCUGGAGGUUCUGGCUCAACACGUAAAAAGAAACGCCAGCACCGCAACAGCCAAGGAGAUGGACGUUCUCGAAAAAUAUCAUCAUCCUCUGUUAGUUCAUCUGACUGUGACAUAACUAGAGACUUAGAAGAGGAUUUUGAAACUUUAGAUUUCAAUGACUUACAAGAACGAGUUCUCACUGAAUCUCCAAGUGGUGAAAGCAAUAAUUGUAAGCCUGAGUCAGUGUUACAAUCUUCUACAAAUACCGAGUUGGUUUGCCAGGUGCAGAUGAUACAUGAAAAUAGCUCAUGGCAGAAAGUUUGCAAGAAGAAAAGCACAGUUGGUCACUCAGCCCUUUUACCUAUAAAAUCACGAAGAGAAUCACUCAAUCAAGAAAGUCCUGCUGCUAACAAUGAACAGUCUUGUGGUUUUCCCGGAAGAAUUCAGGCUUGUGUUAUGGAAACAUCUAACAGAGAGACUUCAUUACCCAAGUUCCCAAGCUUACAAGAUUCCAUGGAAUUAGCACAAAAAAAUGCCCAUUUGCCAAAAAACAGCAAGAUGGGCAAGUUGUCUCAGAAACAGCGUAAGAAACUGGCAGCAGAAUCAGCUGCUUCUGAAGAAUCAACAAAGCGAGUGCAAUGUUUUUCUAGGAGUAUUUCUGCACCUGCGUGGGGAACCACCAAUGGUGCCAUUGUCACAGCUAAUGCUAUAACUGGCUCUCAAACUUUGGCUGACAUUAUGAAGGCUGAAGAAGCAAAAUUGAAAAAGAGCAGUCCCCCAGUACCAAUCCAAAGCAACAAGAGGCAGUCUGGAUCAGGUACCCCAAGCAAGAGAGGUUUCAGUUGGGGUAAAGAUGAAAUUUCAGCAGAUAAUCAGUCGGUUAUAGAAAAGGAGUGUAAUGGACUGUGGUCAGUGGUGGCAUCUUCACCACCAGUUUCUCCUGUGGAUGGCAACCUUCCCUCUCCAGGUCACAAAUACUUAGAGAAACAUGUACCUCAGUCUCCUCCUCAACUUCCAGCAGUGCCAAGCUUUUUUAACAUCUUACUUGAAGAAGAAACUCACUCUGAUAAUUUAAUGAGAGAACAGUCCAAACCCCUGGGAAUGAUACAGCUAGAGGAUCGGGCCAUUGAGGAACUGUUGAUCUUUUAUGGAGCUUCAAAAUGUUUUGAAGAAAAAAUAACUGUGACCCGUGUGAGAAGAACUGUUGCCAAUCCAACUUGGAGCAAAUGAUAAAAACUGAGCUGUGCAUUAACCCUAUGUGACAAAGAUAACAAUGUGAUAAUUGUUUUGAAAAGUAAAGCUAUCCACAUACAGGGUGUAAUUUAGUCAUAGAAAAUUUACGCACAUGUCCUGACACCUCCACUCAACACCCCACCACUACUGCUACCCUCCUUCCCGGCCCCCAAACUAGCUCACUUCACCUUUCUGUGAUGCUAGCUAUUCAAAGAAUACUAGCAUCUCAAAAUGCUUGUCGCUCAUUCUGCUGCGCUUGAGCCUCAAGAUGUCCUUGCCCAUGGAGAACAUGCCCUCCACGGCAGCACUAGAGAGGAUGGGGGGGUGUUGUAUUUGAUGAACAACUCCCUCAUGGCCUUGUUGAGGAAGGUGUCCUUGUCGAAAUUUUUUUUCAAAGGUUUCUCCCCCAGGAAGGGCUUGAAUAGGUCACUGUCUUUUUCAUUCCUGCGGGGGCCUCAUACAGGGCCUGGAACAAUUCGUCCUCCACGUCAUGGUCGUUGUCAUCUCCCUCACUGCUGCUCCUCUCAGUCUCGUGCAUGGACAUCUCCACCAACCUGGACAGCUGGUUGGUGGCCUUUUUCCUGACUUUAAAAUUCAAAUCUGUAGAAAGCUGCCCGGGCGGCGGGUGCGGCAAAAUUUUUCACGGUCGUCUAUAUAACAAGAUAUUGUAAUUGAAAAUCUAACUUGGAAAAAUUGACAAUUUUAGAAGUCGACGAACAAAUUGACGCUUGACACUCCGCUCAGGUGAAAAGUUGACUGUCACCUGUAGCGUCAUCUGCCGCAAAAAAUUGAUGGCAUCAGCGUUAACAAAAAGUUGACUGCGUUAAAUUAACGCCGUCAACGUACAACACUGUUAAUGGGUUAAUUAUUAACCCCUAGGCAUUGGACUAUGGUUAGCUGUCAGGAGCUAUAUUGGGAUCAAAGUGCUGGAAUAAGGAGAAAACCAAAUAAUUGGAGAUGUCAAAGAAGUGGUAACUUUGAUCAAUGAUGAGUUUAUUACAAACAUGAAGUUUAAGCAAUUUAACUUUUCCUUAAAGUUGUGCAAUUGGAACUGGUGUUGAAAAAGUUGUAAAAUUAUUAGUCACUUUGUCUCAUAUAUAACCCUUGGAGUGUGCACUGUUACUGACAAUGAUGUAUUAAUUUCAAUCUGUUUAUACAGUUUAUAUUCAAACUGACUGAAAAUUUUCACCUUUGUCAAAGAAAUUUAUUUUGUAUUUAGAAUCUUGUGAUACAAGAUCACCAUUGGUCAUGUCUAAAAUAUUCCUGCCACACCAUACUACUAAAGAUGAUUUUAGGAAUUACAAUUUUGUGAGAUGUAUGUUUGUAUAGUGCUAGGAGUUCUAAAUAAUAAAAAGUAAAAAAAAUUUAUAUCUUAAUAAAACCAAAGAAUAAU